AAACUAGAUGAGCUUUAUAGUAGCAAUCCUGCUUCUAAGAUGACCGGCGUUGACGAUGCCCUUACACAGUUGGUUGGUUCUGAUAGUAGAGGACGAAUGCGUGGUCUGGGUUGCUCGAUAAGCAAAACAGGACUGAAGAAGUCAACCCCUGCCCGUUCAAAGCUACAUAAUAUGGCAAAAGAAAGAGAAGGCCUAGCGCAGGAGAUAUUAGAGAUAAAGAAAUCAUUGAUUGAUAUAAAGUCCUGGGUGGGUAUGCAUUAAGAGGCACAGUCUGGUCAAAACCUCCCAUCACCACCAGUGGCUAAAUCUACUCAGGGAUCAUCGCCGGAUACGAUAUAUAUUGGUAAGAAAUGCGAGUUGCUUGGUUGGGGCUUACGUGGUGUUGUUGCUCGUGGUCAAGUACACGAAGUUAGUCCAAAUGCAGUUGUCCAUUGUGAGCCAUUAGCAGAGGGAGCUUUUGUUGUUAUCCUAACUGAGAUUAUACACCCUGAUGCUCCUUUGUGGAAAGAAGAUGGAUUCGCAUCUACACUUGGAGAGGCCGGUCCAGGAUCACUUGUGCAAUGGGGGAAGCAAUCAAUGAGAUUCCUAUAAUUUGAACAAAUAUAGUACUAUAUAAUUGAACAUAUAGUAAUUUGGCUUAAGUGGGUUUUGGUUGGG